CGGCGCACGGGUGAGUAACGCGUAUCCAACCUGCCCUUUACUUGGGGAUAACCCGUUGAAAGACGGACUAAUACCCAAUGAUAUUCAUUGAUGACAUCUGAUUUGAAUUAAAGAUUUAUCGGUAUAGGAUGGGGAUGCGUCUGAUUAGCUAGUUGGUGGGGUAACGGCCCACCAAGGCGACGAUCAGUAGCCGGCCUGAGAGGGUGAUCGGCCACAUUGGAACUGAGACACGGUCCAAACUCCUACGGGAGGCAGCAGUGGGGAAUAUUGCACAAUGGGGGAAACCCUGAUGCAGCGACGCCGCGUGAGCGAAGAAGGCCUUCGGGUCGUAAAGCUCUUUUAUGAGGGAAGAUAAUGACGGUACCUCAAGAAAAAGCCCCGGCUAACUACGUGCCAGCAGCCGCGGUAAUACGUAGGGGGCUAGCGUUGUCCGGAAUCACUGGGCGUAAAGGGUUCGCAGGCGGAAUAACAAGUCAGAUGUGAAAGGCAUGGGCUCAACCCAUGUAAGCAUUUGAAACUGUAAUUCUUGAGAAGUGGAGAGGUAAGUGGAAUUCCUAGUGUAGCGGUGAAAUGCGUAGAUAUUAGGAGGAAUACCUGUGGCGAAGGCGACUUACUGGACACAAAUCUGACGCUGAGGAACGAAAGCGUGGGUAGCAAACAGGAUUAGAUACCCUGGUAGUCCACGCCGUAAACGAUGAGUGCUAGGUGUCGGGGGAGACCUCGGUGCCGGCGUUAACACAAUAAGCACUCCGCCUGGGGA
rnacentral:rRNA from 2 species